UGAUUCCUGGAAUGUUCGAUACUCCUAUUUUUUUGAACCUACAUGUACGUUUACGGGAUUCCUAUAUUGCUGGCAUGAUGUCAGGCCUCCUUUGAGUGGAAGGCAGAUUGUCAGUUGCGGUUGCCCACCUGGCUUAGGCUAGGCGUCAAAUAAUAGGAACCGGCAUUUUGGGGCAUAA
rnacentral:other from 1 species